CUUACACACACACACUUGGUGACUUGACCCGCAACCCAGGUGUAAAUUUCUAGGAUGUCGCAUGAACUGCUUAAAUGGAAAAACCUGCAGAGCAAAGAAAAUUCUACUCUCCUGGCCAUCCGAAACGCCUGUUCUUCUGUGCACCAGGGUCUCUUACAUCUUAUCAGGACACUCUGCCUGUCAAGAAUACAUAUCUCCUUAGAGUACUUACUGUAGAGCCUAAGUAGACCAUGGCUCCAUCAGGUUUUCAUAAGAAAAUUGGCAAUUUCUAAUAUUACCCAGGUUGGGAAAAGCGCAGCCAGCUCCUGGAGUUGUAGGCUGCCGUGGGUGGAGGGGCAGUGUUGAUUCCAAGGGGACAUUGAACAAUGCACAUCCUUUCAGUUCCAAAGCCUGCACUUUGAUAUUUUGUGCUAAACUCAAAGAAUAUACAAGUAUCCUGGCCAUGAGCUACUAGCUGUUUCUCUGUUAGACAUUUAGCAAUUUAUUAUUAAUAAUAAUGAUUACAGUAAUGCUAGUACCAUGUGCAAUUUGUUCAACAUAUACUAUGUGCCAGAUACCUGUCUCUCUGUUUCUGUAUGAGAGUGUGUAUUGUCUGAUGUCUGUUGUGACAACCACCACAUGAGGAAUUUUUAUCCUCAUCUUACAUUUGAGAAUGUUGAAGCCUGGAGAAUAAGAGUAACUUGCUUAAAGGGGACCUACGUAAACACACAACUUCCUCUGAAUCCAAAGCCCAUCAUGCUACUGUCCCUUUUCCCUUCAUUCCCAUCACUCUUCAUUAGUAGAUGCUGCUGCCUGCAUUAGUCUCGCCUAAGUGUUGGCCUGGGGAUGUGAUACUCUGAGAGGUAGGAUGACUCCAGUUCUCCUGACAUGGGUCUAAAAUUUCACAUAAGAGCAGUGCAUAAAUCAUAUCAUUAGAAAUCUCUUUGAAAGGGAAAAUACUAGGUAUUUCCAGAACAUAACUGCAAAGGAACAUAGCUAUUUUUAGAGUAAACCUAUGAGUGAAGAAAAGUAUAUGCACAAAAAGGCGACUGGUGCACAAUCGUGAGACUGAUUAAUGUCCUCAACUUGAAUACAUCUGUUUGCAGACCCAGAGGAAGGAAUGAACUAUGACCUGCACACAGAAGCCCUUUGGGCCUCUUCCAUGCAGUUUCCAGAUCCCCAAGAAGUGGACUUCUUUGGGAUGUGCCCAGAAGCCCUUGCAUUCUGGUUCCUGGUGGGCUUCGGGUAGCAGGAGGCAUGAGA